UGAAAAAAAAAAAAAAAAAAAAAAAAAAAAAAAAAAAAAAA
rnacentral:ribozyme from 1 species